rnacentral:rRNA from 2 species
AGUUUAAAAAUUAUUAAUUUAUUAUUUAAAAUUAUUUAUUUAAUAAAAAUAUUUUUAAAAUUAAAAUUGUUUUAGUAUUUUUAAAAGAUAAAAUUUUUUUUAUUAUAGUUUAUUAGUAUUGUAAAAGAAAUUAUUGAUUUAAUAUAAAUAAUUUAUAUAAAAGUAAAUUUAAAUUAUUGUACCUUGUGUAUCAGGGUUUAAUAAAUAAAUUAUAUUUAUAAUAUUUUUCUCGAAUUUAAAAGAUUUAUUUUAAUAUAAUUUUUAUUGUAGUAAAGAUAUUUUAAAUAUUAAAAUGGAAAUGAAAUAUUAUUCAAUUUUAAAUAUAUCUAGUUUUUUAAUAAAUGAAUUUAAUUCAGAUAUUAUAUUAAAAUAAUUAAUUUAAUUAUAAUUUUUAUAUAAUAUUAAUAUUAUAAGGGAUUAGCUUUAUAAUAAAUUUUUAUAAUAAUAAUAAAAAAAAUUAAUUAAAUAGUCUUAGAAAUAGAUUUUAUUAUAAAAAUGUUAUAAUUUAAUUAAAAUUUAAUAUAUAAUUUUUAUUAAUUUAAUUUUUUAUUAAAAUGUGAAUAUUAAUAAUUUAUAAUUAAUAAUAAUGUUAAAAUUAGUAAAUUUUUUUUUGUUGAUUAUAUUAAUUAAUUGAAAGGUUAAUUUUAGGAAUUCGGCAAAAUAAUUAUAUUCACCUGUUUAACAAAAACAUGUCCUUUUGAAAAAAAUUUAAGGUCUAAUCUGCUCAAUGAAUAAUAAAAUUUAAAUGGCCGCAGUAUUUUGACUGUGCAAAGGUAGCAUAAUAAAUAGUCUUUUAAUUAAAGGCUAGAAUGAAUGAUUGAAUGAGAUAUAUACUGUCUUAAAUUAAAUAUUUAUUAAAUUUAAUUUUUAAGUUAAAAAGCUUAAAUAAAUUUAGAGGACGAGAAGACCCUAUAGAAUUUUAUAAAUUAUAAAUUAUAUUUAAUUUAAUUUUUUAUUAUAAUUUAUAAUUUAUUUUAUUGGGGUGAUAAAAAAAUUUAAUAAACUUUUUUAUUUUAAAAUCAUAAAUUAAUGAAUUUUUGAUCCUAAAUUUAGAUUAUUAGUUUAAAUUACCUUAGGGAUAACAGCGUUAUUUUUUUUAGAGUUCUUAUCAAUAAAAAAGAUUGCGACCUCGAUGUUGGAUUAAAAUUUAAUUUAGGUGCAGAAGCUUAAAAUUUAGGUCUGUUCGACCUUUAAAAUUUUACAUGAUCUGAGUUCAGACCGGCGUGAGCCAGGUUGGUUUCUAUCCUUAAAAUAAAUAAAAAUUUUUAGUACGAAAGGAUUAAAAUUUUAUAAUAAUUUAUAUAAAAUUUAUAUGAAUUUUAUUAAUAUGAUUAAUUUAAU